UACGUAGGGGGCAAGCGUUGUCCGGAUUUAUUGGGCGUAAAGAGCGUGUAGGCGGCCAGGUAGGUCCGCUGUGAAAACUCGAGGCUCAACCUCGAGAUGUCGGCGGAAACCAUCUGGCUAGAGUCCGGAAGAGGAGAGUGGAAUUCCUGGUGUAGCGGUGAAAUGCGCAGAUAUCAGGAAGAACACCCGUGGCGAAAGCGGCUCUCUGGAACGGUACUGACGCUGAGACGCGAAAGCGUGGGGAGCGAACAGG
rnacentral:rRNA from 1 species